rnacentral:rRNA from 1 species
ACUCAAAUGAAUUGACGGGGGCCCGCACAAGCGGUGGAGCAUGUGGUUCAAUUCGACGCAACGCGAAGAACCUUACCGGGGUUUGAACUGUACGGGACAGCUCUAGAGAUAGAGUCUUCCUUCGGGACCCGUAUAGAGGUGCUGCAUGGCUGUCGUCAGCUCGUGUCGUGAGAUGUUGGGUUAAGUCCCGCAACGAGCGCAACCCUUGCCUCCUGUUGCUAACGAGUAAAGUCGAGCACUCUGGAGAGACUGCCGGUGAUAAACCGGAGGAAGGUGGGGAUGACGUCAAGUCCUCAUGGCCUUUAUGCCCCGGGCUACACACGUGCUACAAUGGCUGGUACAAAGGGUUGCAAAACCGCGAGGUGGAGCUAAUCCCAAAAAGCCAGUCCCAGUUCGGAUUGCAGUCUGCAACUCGACUGCAUGAAGUUGGAAUCGCUAGUAAUCGCGGAUCAGCACGCCGCGGUGAAUACGUUCCCGGGCCUUGUACACACCGCCCGU